AUGUCGCCGCUCUAUUACCGAAGCCAGCACGACCUUGUCGAUGAUAGCAUGAAAGUCUUUUGUGCAUGUGUCCUUAAAGACCAGCGCCCUGGAGUCGUGCUUGUCUCCGUUGAAUCGGGGUUAAUACGCCAGCGCCGCCGCGAAAGUCAGAUCGGAGUCUCGCACAAGGGAGAACAGACGGAGCCGGCGAUCCGAGAGGAUGAUGACGCGAGGGCAGCGGCGGCGCUUGGGCCUUGCCGAUCCACCGGCUCCUUGCGCCGGAUCUGGCCACCCGAGGAAGCGACCGCGUCAGGGUCUGCGCCGCUGUACCGCCGCGCGCCUCCCCGGGCCGUGUGCAAGCCCUGGCGCGAGCUCAGCGAGGACCCGCGGGCGCACGGCGUCCUGGAUAGCCGGUUCCGCCCGCACGGCUGGUUCCCGCUGCCCAACCGAGGGGAGCCCCCGUCGCGCCGGCGCCUCGUCCACGCAACCGCCAGGGCCCGCGUCGUCAGAGUCCACCACCAGAUAUUCUCCACCAGCCGCCUCCUCAGCGUGGCCUCCGGCCUCCUCGUCAUGCGCGACGAGGCAACCUGCACCGUCCGCCUCCUUCACCCGUUCACCGGCGCGCUCGCCGAGUUCCCCGACAUCACCGACGUGCGGCCCCACGAUGGCGCGGAGCCGAGCGCCCGUCUCGGCAUGGACGCCUUCAAGGCCCGCUUCCCUGGCCUCGGCGUUGACCCGGACGCCUACCUCGCCACGGACGACUACAAGUCCGGCUACCCCGCCGAGGGCACGGUCAUGGACUUCGCCAGCAUCGACGACUCCACCUCCCCGCCGACCCUCCAGCUCUGCGUGAAUAAUGGGAAGUGGCUCGUCAUCUCCGCCAAGCCUGGCGAUGAGCACUGGGUGUCCCUGAGCCGGCGGAGGGGCAGCGUACGGGCCAUGUUACACAGCGCUUUACUUAGGCUGUAG
rnacentral:rRNA from 1 species